rnacentral:lncRNA from 1 species
GAUAUCGUCUUCUCGUUCCCAAGUGGACUCUUCUCUUGAAUGGUACUGCCAUAAUACACGGACUAAAGGAAUCUCCUUCUUGCGCAACACUUGCACCCUUCUAUCCAAUAUCAAAAUUGGCUGCUCAAUGAAGGAUAGGUCCUUCCUGAUCGGUAAAGGUUCAUAUUUCAAGAUAUGGGAUGGGUCGGGCUGAUAUUUUCGUAGUGAAGAUACAUG